rnacentral:rRNA from 1 species
UGAGGAACAUGACUUUCGGCGGGGGAUAGCCGGCCCAACGGCCGGGUAAUACCGCGUACGACCUUUUGGGGACAUCCCCGAUUGGUGAAAGCAGCAAUGCGCCGAUGGAGUGCCUCGCGGCCUAUCAGCUAGUUGGUGAGGUAACGGCUCACCAAGGCAACGACGGGUAGCUGGUCUGAGAGGAUGGCCAGCCACAUUGGGACUGAGACACGGCCCAGACCUCCGUACGGGAGCAG